rnacentral:rRNA from 1 species
UACGAAGGGUGCAAACGUUGCUCGGAAUUAUUGGGCGUAAAGCGCACGUAGGCGGCAUUGCAAGUCGGAUGUGAAAUCUUAUGGCUUAACCAUAAAAGUGCAUCCGAAACUGCAGUGCUUGAGUACUUAAGAGGAUCGCGGAAUUCCCGGUGUAGAGGUGAAAUUCGUAGAUAUCGGGAGGAACACCAGUGGCGAAGGCGGCGACCUGGACGGACACUGACGCUGAGACGCGAAAGCGUGGGGAGGCAACAGG